UUAAACCGCCUAGAACGCCUCUGAAAGACCCUAGAACGACCUUGGAAUGCCUUUGAAACCUUUUCAAAAUCCUUGGAACGUCAAUAAAACCCUCUGGAAUCCCCUGGAGCUCCCGAAUUGCCCCUGAAAUACUCUCAAGCAGUUGAAACCUCCUGACUGCUAGAACACUCCUGGAAUACUUCUGAAACCCCAUCAAACACCAUGGAACUCCUCGGCAAUCCCCUGACACAGCCCUGAUACACUCCUGAAACCUCUCUGGAACCUCUCCGACUCCCCCUGAGACACUUGGCACACCUCUGGAACGACUUGGAAACCCUUCUGAAACCUUCUGGAACAUCCUAGACACCUUCAGAAACCCCUCUAGACCCCCUGAAACACCCCUAGAAUGCCUUCCUGAACCUACAUCACCAUCUCAACCACCUGGAAUACCCCUUAAGUUCCCUUGAACGCCCUUCAAAGUCCUCAGAACGCCUCUGAAACCUCCUAGAACGAACUUGAACCCCAGUGGAACUACCUUGUUAUCCUCAGAAACCCUCUCAGUCCCCCUGGAACAGCUUUAGAAUGCCACUGAAACUACCUGAAACCCCCUAGAACGUCCCUGAAAGUCCCUGGAAUACCCCCGGUACGCCUUUGAACGCCUUUAAAAGUCUUUAGAACACAUUUGAAACCGCCACUGAAAUUCUAUUAAAUGCCUUGGAACUACGCUUAGACCUCCUGAAAUACACCUGGGAAACCCCCCUGAAAUCCCCUGAAUUCCUCUGGUAGCUCAUUGACAACCGCUGAGCCCCAUGAAACACUUCUAGAACGCCCUGUGAAACCUACCUAUCAUGUAAAUAUCGUGAAUUUCCGGGGGCACAAAAAAUAAAAAAAAAAACCCGGAAGAACUUCUGAAAUAUUUUACGGAAGAAGUCCUGAAGAAAAGCCUACUUAGAAUUUCCGGAGGAACUCCCACUGGAAUUCCCGGGAGAACUCCUGCUGGAGUUUACCGAGAAAACCCCUCGAAGGAACUCCAUUAGGAAAUAUUCAAAUUAAUUUCUGGAGGCAAGCCUGAAAGAAUUCACAAAUUAUCUGAAGUAGUUUCUGAGGGAACUGCAGGAGAAAUUUCUGGAAAAACUAUAGAAGGAAGUCUCAGAGGAAGUUCUGAAGGGAAGGUUCUGUAUGGAUUCCCGGCGGAAGCCCUGAAAUUUCCGGAGAACUCCUACGGCAGUUCCCGGAGAAACUAUUUCCGGAAUUCCCCGAGGAAUUCUAGAAGGACACCCCGGAGGAACUCCCAAAAGAAAUUCGCGGAGGAACUCCAGAAGAAAAUUCAUAAAGGAUUUCCUAAAAGAAUGCUGGAGAAAUUUAAAGAGAAACUUUUGAGGAAAGUCCCGGAGGAACACUUGAAGGAAUUUCCCGGUGGAGCUUCCGAAAGAACCCCGGAGUAACUCGUGAAGAAAUUCCCUGUGGAACUCCUGAAACAAUUCGCGGAGAAGCUCCGCGCAGUAACUCCUAAAACAAUUCUUACAGAAAAUCCCUAAAGGAAUGCCUGAGUAAAUUGUUGAAGGAAUUUUCGGAGAAACUCCGGGAUGAAAUCAUGAAGGAAUUCUGGGAGGCACUCCUGAAGGAGUUCUUGGCAGAAACUCAUGAAGGAAUAUCCGGAGGAACUUCCGAACGAAUUUCAAGGAAAAUUACUGAUGGAAUUUUCGGAGAAUCUGCUGAGGUAAUUGCCGUAUAAGCUAACGAAGGAGUUCUCAAGGGAACUUUCGACGGAAUGUCCAGAAGAACUCUUGAAAAAAAAUCCUGAAGGAAGGUCUGAAGGAAUGUCCGCAGGGACCUUUAAUAAAAUUCCUAGAUAAACUCCUAAAGAUAUUCUCGGAGAAAUUUCUGAAAAAAAAAAAUUAGAACAAGUGCAGAUGAAGUCACUCUCGGAGGAGUUUUCUAAACUAUUGAAAACCCAUUCCGGAGGAGCUUCUGAUUGAUUUCCUCUGGGAACUGGGCUGAGAGUUUUUGAAAAAAAUCCCGAAAAAAAGUUCGGGGUAUGUCUUGGAAUAAUUUCCGAGGAACUCCUGAAGAAAUUCUCGAAGAAACUCCUGAAAAAGUUCCUAAUCGAUCUCCCGAAGGAAUUUUUAAAGGAACUCUUGAAGGAACUCCUGAUGUAACUCUCAGAAAAACUCUCGAAAAAAAAUCCGGAGGACCUUCAUAAGAAAUUCUUUUAAGAAAUUUAUAGAGCAGGAUUUGAGUAUCUCCUGUACGAAUUCUCGGAGAAAUAACUGGAGGGAUUCUCGCGGUAGUCUUAAAGAAAGUUUUGGAGGAACUUUUGAACAAACUCCCAAAAGAACUUAGGAAUGACUAGAAUGCUUUACUAAAGGUUGCUUUUAGUAAGGUCCAUCUGUUCGUCGGAGAAACUUUUCGCUCUACUUGCUGCACAUCAAAUUCAAAACACCAACACAUAGGAUAUGAGCUAGGGGCAAGACAGAUAUAGCGAGAGUAACUCUGUUAUCAAAAUGUUGCUCAGAAUUUCUUUGGAUAGCUCUGGAUCACUCCGGUUUUCCCGAAGUGUUGCCCGAUACCAGUGAAAAAUCGAGCAGUCUUGCCCGAUUUUCCGUUUCCUAGAGACGUUUCUGAAUGGAUUCGAACAAAAAGAGUUACUUAAGAUUCCUAUGAGUUGCUCCGGAUUGCACAGUGUCUUGCCCCUAUGAUAUGAGUGCAAUAAAUAAUCUUAUACCCCAGACAGACAUGUGAUACGAGUGUGAUUCUCGUACAACGGUACGCAGUGUCAAGAAAAUUCUAACGAGAUUGUCUUGAAUGGAGAGAAUUAUCAGUGUGGCACUCAUUUCAAGCGCAAAUUUACAGUGAUUCCUGUAUCACAUGUGUGUCAUAAGUAUUACGCUCCCAAAUUCACCUAUUCAAGCAAAUACGACACCGACUAAUUCCGUUCUUUUUGUUUUCAUUCGUGCAUUUUUUGUUAAAAAAAAUACAAAUAUAUAUUAGAAACAAAACAAACACCGCUUCAAUCCUUUGUUUGUCGUAGGAUGAAAGUGGGAGCUACAUGUUUAACAAGGGAACCAAUACCCUACGCCGAAGAAGAAUCUGAACUGUACUCACCUGAAACACCUUGAAAGUCCAGUAGCUGGGAGCUGCUGAAUACUGGUUCUGCACAACAAAUACAAUAACAAUAUAAUUAGCCCAUAUGAAUAAAGCUGAGUAAAUACUCAUUACUCAGAUCUCUGUGAAGAUUCACAGAGAUUUUCUCUACGGCUUCACAUAGAUUUAGUAAAGUGUAUUUACUCAACUUUAUUCAUACGGCCUAUCAUUUCAUCGAAAACGACAAAAAAGCUUGGAGAGCUAGUCGUAAGCAAUGACGGCGGACAGCGAAGAACAACAACAAACAACAAUUGUCAAAAUGAUUUGCUGUGAAUAGAACGCCCCGGUGGAAAUGUAAUCAUAACCUCUACACUGAAAUAAAUUUUGUUGUGGAAACUACCGAUUCCAUAGUAAAAUUACUAACCGUACCUAUGAUUCUCAACCGACAACAAUUUCCAGUUAAUUCAACUAAAACACUCUCAACUUAACUAGCAGUGCAGUUGAAUUUACCAAAAAUAAUCUUAAUUUAACAAAUGAGCAUUGUAUUUUUAACCAUACUGUGUUGUAAAAUGCGUGUCCUGGAAAAAAUUAACAAUGUUUUGUUGUUGAGACGACUACGCUUUUAGUUGAAUUUACUACAAUGCAUUGUAGUUUCAAGCAUAUUUCAGUUACUUUAACAGAUUUUGUUGUCGGUUGAGAAUCAUAGGUACGGUUAGUAAUUUUACUAUGGAAUCGGUAGUUUCCACAACAAAAUUUAUUUUAGUGUACUUUUAAAGCCAAUUCAAAUGUCAGAAUUUGGAAUAGAACGCAUCCGCUGAAAACGAUCGUAGCCGUUUAACCCAACAUUCCCCCAUCAACUUUUACCGCCCAUCACGCUUCGCCAGAACAAACCGUGCACGCCGAACCUUCUCCUUCCCAGCUGAUAAAUAUUGCCCUUUCGCUCCUCAUCCACUCACUGCGCGCUGGCCGAUUCCACUCGUCCGGCACUCAGUCAGUGAUCACCAACACCACAACCUUGGCGGAGGAGCACUCAAUCUGAGACCCAACCCGAACCCAACCGACGACGAAUCGCCUACUUCGCUUGUCGUUCCUCGUUCGUUCGACUCGCCUCGCCUGCUUUCUGGGUGGGUGGUGGGUGACUGCCGCUGUGUCGGUCGGACCGGACCGACUCGAUCGAUUCGUUCGCCUCACGCGACCGACAGUUCCGAGAGUUAUUUCGCGUUGAGUGGACGUGUUUUUUUCUGGAGAGCGUGUUGUGUACCGAGCGUUGUUGGUCUGAACCUGAUCCUGAACAGCCAGAAGAAGAGAGUUAUCUACAGCAGCACCUAGGCACAGGCACUAGCGCAGCGCAGCAGUGUGUAGUUGUUUUUUUUCUGUUGUGUAUUAAUGCGAUGAGUGUUGUGUUGUUUUGACGAAAUUCCAGCAGGGAAUUGAGCGCACGUAGUGACUCGGUGAUAGAUUUGGGAACCGGUUCGAAAGUUGUUUCGCACAGGUCCGACUGAACGGGAAAAUAAGAAGAACGCAAGUGUCUUGUCGUCGUCGACGGCAACGACGUCGACGACUGGAAAUUCGUAAAUCACGCAUACAUUUUCGCGAACGAUCGACCAUCGUCCGCACAAAGGAAGCCGAAAGGUGGAAGAAAGAUAACGUCAUCGGCUGGUGAAUGUGCAGAAAUAAAAAGUGAGAAAGUUUUGAAAGUUGAACCCCUUUUUCGGGAAGAAGCAGAAGAAGCCAUCGAAGAGAAGAAUGCAUGAAUCGUUUUUGUCGUGUUUGUGAUUGCUAAGUUGAAAUUUUGAAGCGGUUAUCUCCUACUGUCAACAACGCGGAGAAUAAAGCUUCCCGAAACCUAGAAGGCGAAGAAGAAGAAGCUGUAGUGCAUAAUCCAUCCACCGCCGGAGUGGCAUCCGGAGUUUGUUUGUUGUUUACGAAAAACGACAAAACAGUUCUAUAAUCUCGACGACGAAAGAAGAAGAACCAAAACGACGACGACGAAGAAGAGGAUAAUACGCUGAUAAAGUCGGUCAACCGAGUGAGCGCGAGUGUUUUGUAAACAACGACAACCUAGUAUCGACAUACCGAUCGACCGACCGACCGACCGACAACAACAUGUGUCCAGCAGCGAUUCGCUAGGCGAACAACUGUGUCGCCGCAUCGUGUGGACAUCUUUUGGAGGAUAAGCUGGCGAAACGUUACCACAGUCGCAGUAGCCAAUCGCAACCUUGGUGGAUCCCUUCGCUGGGGCUGGCGUUCCGCCACCAGCACCACCAUCCCAACCCGUAGUCGUUGAUUGUCGUUCACGCAACAACAAGCGACACCAAGAGAUGCACGUUUUGAAAUUGGGUGAGUUGAGGAAUCAGCUGAUGGGGGGCAGGUUUUUACGAUCAGUGUCGGUCGUUUUAUGUGCUUGAUUUGGAGAAGUGGUGAGUCGAAGUAGGCUACGUGAUAGGAGGCAUGCGCUUCGAUUCAGAGCGCACCUAGUAUGGAUUGCUAUGAUCGGGGCAAGGUAGAUGAAUCCUACAGGUUAAUAACAUAUUCAUGCGAUGAAAUCGAAAGCGUGGAAAAUCUCCAUCGUAUCGUUAUCGAUCCGGAAUGCAAGGCAGCACGCAAUAUGUAUGCAUUGGAACGGUUUGUCUCGAACGUCGCAAUAUCGGUGUGUGCUAAAUACCUCGAAAAGUGACUCAUUUUGCUCAUAUGCAAGUGGUCUAUCAUUACUGCCAUUGCGCGCCGUCUCCAUCGGGGUUGAGUGGGGAAAUUUCCGAGAUCUGACACCGGUUGGUAUAAUUAUUGUUGGGUUGCAUUGAUUGGAUCAUGAUUUACGUGUGCUACAUUGUAUAUUCGAGUGGCGUUGAUUUGCGGGCAAGCUGGAGCUGGGUUUGAGUACUUUUCUGUUCUUUUCAAAUAGUUCAUUGUUACAGCUAAUAGAUAAUUGCUAGGACGUGGCCGAUGUAUUUCAAAAUUUUGUUUAAAUAAGGCCAAAUCUUAUCAAGUGCAAUUUUAAGCAAUCACUGAAUAACAAGCACUACAAAAUAUAUGAUUUAAAAAAUAAGUUGCCAGGACAUGGCCAUUGCAAAAGCUUAUCAAUAUAUAAUUCAAGAUUGAAUUGUAUACAUUUUUCGAUUGCGCAUCUUAGGUAUUAAAUUUUAAUAGAAUAGCAUAGAACGAGCUCACCCAUUUAUAAUUCCAGAUCACACCUUUUUGUAUAUGUUAAUGAAGGUUGAAUACCAUAUUGAAUCUAUAAACAUCUUAUCGGCAGUAAAAUGGUACCAACUCAAACGUUUGUCUCCGAAUACACUUCAGAAUCUUUUUCGUCAGAAGUCAGUCAGCUAGUGAUCGCCGCGCGGUGCGCGUAGGCGUUCUCUCGUAAGUCGUCGUUCGUGUUUGCUUUAAACACUGUUAAUUUGUUGUGCACUGCUGCUUCACCCGCACAACUCACGACCUACCCAACGAACGAAGACGAAGAGCUCGCCGAACAUCCUCCAUCCAGCAGUGUCGUCAUGUCGCUGUCAGCCGGCGCGGCCGCUGCUAAGAAUUCGCAAGAAAUUUGCACUGUGCCGUCGGUCGAGGUUUGUCGGUCUGCUUCAUUAUCUGUGUUCCUCAUAAAGCGCAGCGCAGCUAUCGCCACCACGACCACGGCGAAAGAAGCGAACUCCAAGAAGGACGGAAAGGUUUCUUCCGAGAAUGUUGCGAUGAUCAUCGCAGCAAAGCAAAGGCGCGUUCUUAUCUGUAGCGCUGUUCGUUCAGCCUGUGUGUAGGAGGAUGUUUCGUCUUCGUCCAGACUUUCAUCUUGAAUCAGUCUGGUGUUUCGCGUCAGUGUGUGUUUUUGCCGUAUCGGAAGUGGUCAAGAUUUUAAAAUACCUGGCAAAAAUUAUUGUGUUUCCUCUCAGGAAUCUGGAGAGAUCCCUCUCAGGAAUCUGGAGAGAUUCCUCUCAGGAAUCUGGAGAGAUUCCUCUCAGGAAUCUGGAGAGAUUCAUCUCAGGUAUCUGGAAAGAUUCCUCUCAGGGAUCUGGAGAGAUUCCUUUCAGAAAUCAGGAGAGAUUCCUCUCAGGAAUCUGGAGAGAUUCCUCUCAGGAAUCUGGAGAGAUUCCUCUCAGGAAUCUGGAGAGAUUCCUCUCAGGAAUCUGGAGAGAUUCCUCUCAGGAAUCUGGA